UACGUAGGGUGCAAGCGUUGUCCGGAAUUUAUUGGGCGUAAAGAGCUCGUAGGCGGUCUGUCGCGUCUGCUGUGAAAACUCGGGGCUUAACCCCGGGCCUGCAGUGGGUACGGGCAGACUAGAGUGCGGUAGGGGAGACUGGAAUUCCUGGUGUAGCGGUGAAAUGCGCAGAUAUCAGGAAGAACACCCGUGGCGAAGGCGGCUCUCUGGGACGGUACUGAC
rnacentral:rRNA from 1 species